CACGUAGGGUGCGAGCGUUGUCCGGAAUUAUUGGGCGUAAAGAGCUCGUAGGUGGCUUGUCGCGUCUGCCGUGAAAGCCCAUGGCUUAACUGUGGGUCUGCGGUGGAUACGGGCAGGCUGGAGGCUGGUAGGGGCAAGCGGAAUUCCUGGUGUAGCGGUGAAAUGCGCAGAUAUCAGGAGGAACACCGGUGGCGAAGGCGGCUUGCUGGGCCAGUUCUGACGCUGAGGAGCGAAAGCGUGGGGAGCGAACAGG
rnacentral:rRNA from 1 species